CAUGUAGGCGGUUGUUUAAGUCUGAUGUGAAAGCCCUGGGCUCAACCCAGGAAGUGCAUUGGAUACUGGAUAACUUGAGUACGGGAGAGGAAAGUGGAAUUUCGAGUGUAGGGGUGAAAUCCGUAGAUAUUCGAAGGAACACCAGUGGCGAAGGCGGCUUUCUGGACCGAUACUGACGCUGAGAUGCGAAAGCGUGGGGAGCAAACAGGAUUAGAUACCCUGGUAGUCC
rnacentral:rRNA from 1 species